GACGAACGCUGGCGGCGUGCUUAACACAUGCAAGUGGAGCGACGAACCAGGGCUUGCCCUGGGGCAGAGCCGCGAACGGGUGAGUAACACGUGGGUAACGUACCCCGAUGACUGGGACAACCCGGGGAAACCCGGGCUAAUACCGGAUGUGCACCCUCACAUCAGUGAGGUGUGUAAAGGAAGCUUCGGCCUCCGCGUUGGGAUCGGCCCGCGGCGCAUUAGCUUGUUGGUGAGGUAACGGCUCACCAAGGCCGCGAUGCGUAGCUGGUCUGAGAGGACGAUCAGCCACACUGGGACUGAGACACGGCCCAGACUCCUACGGGAGGCAGCAGUGGGGAAUCUUGCGCAAUGGGCGAAAGCCUGACGCAGCGACGCCGCGUGAGGGAUGACGGCCUCGGUU
rnacentral:rRNA from 1 species